rnacentral:rRNA from 1 species
GACAGAGGCCUCGAGCGUUAGGCGGAAUCACUGGGCUUAAAGCGUGUGUAGGCGGACCUCUAAGUACCUUGUGAAAUCCCACGGCUCACCCGUGGAACCGCUGGGUAUACUGGGGGUCUUGGGCCAUUCAGGGGCGACUGGAACAAGCGGUGGAGCGGUGAAAUGCGUAGAUAUCGCUUGGAACGCCGACGGUGAAAACAGUCUGCUGGGGGUGUGCUGACGCUGAGACACGAAAGCCAGGGGAGCGAACGGG